rnacentral:lncRNA from 1 species
AAGUUAUGGUGUCCGCUUAGGUGAAAGUGGCACCUAAAACUGCCAUCCUGAGUAAAGCUUGGCUUCUAACACCAUACAGAUGUCUCUUCAUUGGUUUUGCUGCUCCUCCUCACGGUGGAUGCUUUGUCAACCAGAGAAGCAAUGGGUCCACUAACGUCAGAUUAAGGAAGGAAUGAAUGUCUGGAAUCCAUCACGACUAUAGUCUUACACUGGCUCCUAUCCAUCAAGAAUAGGACAAGAACAGUGCUAUGGAUCACGUUGAAAGUUCUGCUGCAGGAGUUUGGGGACCGAGGUGGGGGGCACUCCUGUUCUAAGAUUGCUCAGGUUAUAACCCUUAUUAAAUAAAAAAAAAACAGCAACG